rnacentral:rRNA from 1 species
AUUGAACGCUGGCGGCAUGCCUUACACAUGCAAGUCGAACGGUAACGCGGGGCAACCUGGCGACGAGUGGCGAACGGGUGAGUAAUGCAUCGGAACGUGCCCAGAAGUGGGGGAUAGCCCGGCGAAAGCCGGAUUAAUACCGCAUGAGACCUGAGGGUGAAAGCGGGGGAUCGCAAGACCUCGCGCUUUUGGAGCGGCCGAUGUCAGAUUAGCUAGUUGGUGGGGUAAAGGCCUACCAAGGCGACGAUCUGUAGCUGGUCUGAGAGGACGACCAGCAACACUGGGACUGAGUCACGGCCCAGACUCCUACGGGAGGCAGCAGUGGGGAAUUUUGGACAAUGGGCGCAAGCCUGAUCCAGCCAUGCCGCGUGCGGGAAGAAGGCCUUCGGGUUGUAAACCGCUUUUGUCAGGGAAGAAACGCUCUGGGCUAAUACCCUGGGGUAAUGACGGUACCUGAAGAAUAAGCACCGGCUAACUACGUGCCAGCCGCCGCCGUAA